rnacentral:rRNA from 1 species
AGAGCAUCGGGUGGAUGCCUUGGCGUCGGAAGGCGAUGAAAGACGUGGUAAGCUGCGAAAAGCCUCGGGGAGAAGCUAAACAUUCUGUGAUCCGGGGAUUUCUGAAUGGGGAAACCCGGCGGAGGUCAUGCUCCGUCGCGGGCACUUGAAUACAUAAAGUGUCCAGCGCCAACUCAGGGAAGUGAAACAUCUCAGUACCUGAAGGAAAAGAAAUCAAACGAGACUCCCAAAGUAGCGGCGAGCGAAAUGGGAUGAGCCCAAACCGGCUGGAUUCGUUCAGCCGGGGUUGUAGGGCCGGCAUAUGUGAUUCAUGAGUAGGCAGGGGAAAUGAGCUGGAAAGCUCUGCCAGAGCGGGUGACAGCCCCGUACCUGAAACCCAAAGCGACACAGCCGGUACCUGAGUACCGCGAGACACGUGGAACCUCGUGGGAAUCCGGGAGGACCAUCUUCCAAGGCUAAGUACUAACCGACGACCGAUAGUGUACCAGUACCGUGAGGGAAAGGUGAAAAGAACCUCUGUUAGAGGAGUGAAAUAGAAUCUGAAACCUGGUGCUUACAAGCUGUGAGAGCGGACUUGUUCCGUGAUCACGUGCCUUUUGCAUAAUGAGUCAGCGAGUUAAUCUGUACUGCAAGGUUAAGCGUGAGUGGAGCCGUAGGGAAACCGAGUCUGACAAGGGCGAUGAGUAGUGCGGAUUAGACCCGAAACCGGGUGAUCUAUCCAUGAGCAGGUUGAAGCAAGGGUAAAACCUUGUGGAGGACCGAACCAAUACCGGCUGAAAACGGUUUGGAUGACUUGUGGAUAGGGGUGAAAGGCCAAUCAAACCCGGUGAUAGCUGGUUCUCCCCGAAAUAUAUUGAGGUAUAGCCUCAUGGAUUGUCUACCGGAGGUAAAGCACUGACAGGGCUAGGGGUCCUACCAGAUUACCAAACCCUAUCAAACUCAGAAUGCCGGUCAGAUGUACCAUGGGAGUCAGACGGCGGGUGCUAAGGUCCGUCGUCGAGAGGGUAAGAGCCCAGAUCAACAGCUAAGGUCUCCAAAUCUAUGCUCAGUGGUUAAGGUGGUGACGUUGUAGAGACACCCAGGACGUUGGCUUAGAAGCAGCCAUCGUUUAAAGAAAGCGUAAUAGCUCACUGGUCUAAUGACGUUGCGCCGAAAAUGUAACGGGGCUAAGCAUAGUACCGAAGCUUUGAAUUCCGCGAAUGCGGUCUGGUAGGGGAGCGUUCUUCACGGGCUGAAGGUGUGUCGUAAGGCAUGCUGGACUGUGGAGAAGUGAUUAUGCUGACAUGAGUAACGAUAAAACGGGUGAAAAACCCGUUCGCCGUAAACCCAAGGUUUUCCGGGUAAAGGUAAUCUUCCCGGAGUUAGUCGGCCCCUAAGGCGAGGCUGAAAGGCGUAGCUGAUGGGAAACGUGUUAAUAUUCACGUACUUGUGUGUUCGCGCGAUGAAGGGACGCAGGAAGAUAGGCAAGCCGGGCGCUGGUUGUCCCGGUGCAAGCGUGUAGGGAUGAGAAGUUGGCAAAUCCGCUUCUCUUUAUCCUGAGACGCGAGUCCGUGACCGAAAGGUCUGAAGUUGUUGAGUCUAUGCUGCCUAGAAAAGCUUCUAAGUAUAGGACACGCAAACCGUACCGGAAACCAACUCAGGUGGGUGGGAUGAAUAAUCCAAGGCGCUCGAGAGAACUCUGGCCAAGGAACUCGGCAAAAUAACCCCGUACCUUCGGAAGAAGGGGUGCUUUUUAGGGUGAAGCGAUUCACUCUGUCGAGCCCUGAAAAGCCGCAGAGAAAUGGUGGUGGCGACUGUUUACUAAAAACAUAGGUCUGUGCCAAGUCGUAUAGACGACGUAUACGGACUGACGCCUGCCCGGUGCUGGAAGGUUAAAAGGAGAUGUGCAAGCAUUGAAUUGAAGCCCCAGUGAACGGCGGCCGUAACUAUAACGGUCCUAAGGUAGCGAAAUUCCUUGUCAGGUAAGUUCUGACCCGCAUGAAAGGCGUAAUGAUUUGGGCACUGUCUCAACAGCCCGCCCGGCGAAAUUGUAGUACCGGUGAAGAUGCCGGUUACCCGCGACAAGACGGAAAGACCCCAUGGAGCUUUACUGUAGCCUAAUAUUGGGUUUCGAUGUUGCAUGCACAGGAUAGAUGGGACACAGGGAAACAAGUGCUUUGGCAUUUGUGGAGUGGCCGUUGGGAUACCAUCCUUGCGAUAUUGGAAUUCUAACCUGCGCCUUUGAAUCAAGGCGGGGGACAUUGUUAGGUGGGCAGUUUGACUGGGGCGGUCGCCUCCUAAAGAGUAACGGAGGCGUUCAAAGGUUCGCUCAGCUUGAACGGAAAUCAAGCAAAAGAGUGCAAACGCAGAAGCGAGCCUAACUGCGAGACUGACGGGUCGAGCAGUAACGAAAGUUGGAGUUAGUGAUCCGGUGGUAUGUGAGUGGAAAUGCCAUCGCUCAACGGAUAAAAGUUACCCUGGGGAUAACAGGCUGAUCUCCCCCAAGAGUCCACAUCGACGGGGA